rnacentral:misc_RNA from 1 species
UUGAAGAGGACAUGACAAAGCCUGGAGUUUCUAUUGCAUCUAGUACCUUUCUUUCUCCAAAAGAUGUUGUUUCUUUCCUCCAGAGGCUUUCACAAGUGGAUAAACAGAACUUCACGCCCAGUGCUGCAGAAGAGUGGGACAAAAAGUAUAUUGAGCUUCUCUAUGGUCUUUGUGCAGAUUCAAACAAGUAUGCUCAUUCUUUGCGUCACGAAGUUUUCCAGAAGGUAGAGAGGCAAUAUUUGCUUGGGAUACGGGCAAAAGAUCCUGAAAUGAGAAUGAAGUUUUUUACUCUUUAUCAUGAAUCCCUUGGGAGAAUGUUGUUCACAAGAUUGCAGUACAUCAUCCAAAUUCAGGAUUGGGAAGCUUUGAGUGAUGUAUUUUGGCUGAAG